CAUGGCAAGCAACGCCGAGGCGGUCGCAGGAUAGCCGCACAACAUGUGAGACCGUAAAAUUCCGACAACCGUCAUCACCGUAAGAUGACAUCCCGCGAUCUAAUUCGAGAUCGUACUUUAUGUUACUGUCGCCGGGGUUCAAAGCGAGUAGCGGUGGGUGUAGGGAAACAUGACAACAGCUCUGGGGAACGUGGGAGGCGUCCUCCUCCACCUCCCGCUCCGCCACUUCCUCUUCAAUCCUCGCCGGAGUCUCAUCCCCAAACCCCACCUCCUGGCUCGAGGCGUAGUUAUUCGAGCCGCCACCACCUCUUCCUCCUCUCCUCCUGGGACGGCCACCGGCGACUCCAAUCCGGUAACACAGGAUCUCACUGAAGAUGCAAAAGUUAGCACUGGCAUCCCCAUAUUAGCUUGCCCUAUUUGUUACAAUUCUUUGAUCAGCAAAAAUGGUCCAGGCUUAAAAUUAGCAUUCCAGUCUGCGUCCAAUCUUGAAUGCCAUACUUGCAAGAAAGAUUACCAAAACAAUGGUAUAUAUCUUGAUCUGGCAGUAGCUAGCGGAUCCAAGGAUUAUGCUGAAACUAUGCCAGCAAUGACUGAACUUUUCAGGAGCCCAUUGGUAUCAUUUCUUUACGAGAGGGGAUGGCGCCAAAAUUUUGUAUGGGGUGGUUUCCCUGGUCCAGAGAGAGAGUUUGAAAUGGCUAAAGGUUAUCUUAAACCCAGCACUGGUGGAACUAUUAUAGAUGCAAGCUGUGGGAGUGGCUUGUUCUCAAGGCUGUUUGCUAAGAGUGGGAUGUUUUCGCUUGUUAUAGCUUUAGAUUUCUCAGAGAAUAUGCUGCAGCAAUGCUAUAAUUUCAUCAACCAGGAGGGCAUGCCAAGAGAGAACUUGAUUUUGGUGAGAGCUGAUAUCUCUAGGCUCCCUUUUGUCUCAAGUUCAGUUGAUGCUGUUCAUGCUGGUGCUGCCAUACAUUGCUGGCCUUCUCCAUCUGCUGGUGUAGCAGAAAUAAGCCGAGUUCUGCGCCCUGGAGGUGUAUUUGUUGCAACAACCUUCAUCUUGGAUGUCUUGCCUCCGGUUAUUCCAAUCUUGAAAACAGUCCGCCAGUAUUAUAUCCGUGCCUCAAGCAAUUACCUCUAUCUAUCAGAAGGUGAACUUGAAGAUCUCUGCCAGACAUGUGGCUUGGUCAAUUUUACAUGUGUGAGGAAUGGACCUUUUGUGAUGAUAUCUGCAACCAAACCCAGUUAAUCAUGACAUUGUAUACAAAGCUCAUAACCCGAUUUUUAUGACCCUUGCAACUCACUUAUUUUUGAAAGGUUGAUCAUGAACAGAAUAAUCUCCUUGUCUGCUCUCGGACAUUCUCCAAGGAAAGGAAGGGGGGCUGCUGCAGAGGAUGUGAUAAGACUCUGCACUGUGAACUUGCACUCGCUAAUGCCAUUUUUACUAGGUCGAAGCUGCUUAAUUCUUAGGGUUGUAAUCCUGUAAAAAGAGGAUGGUGGGAUUCUUCUUCUGCCUUUUCUUAUGCUUAAACAGAAAAGAUAUAUAUACCUGUCUUGAGUUAACUUAAAUGCAUAUUCUGUAGAAGAAUCUUCUCCUUCCUUUUCAUAUAAUUUGCUUAAGGAAUAAAUUUGUGUG